CUCCUUGUGUCGUCUAACUUGAAGAGUAUACAAUCUUCGGCAGGCAGAAGCUUUUCUACUGGUUUUAACCUUGUUAACCUUAAAUUAUUUUAGAUAUUCUACCUAGCAUGCCAUACAUUUUUCCCACACAUGCCGAAAUGAUUACUGAAGUCAUCAAAAAUACUGUGAAAACUUCUUUAUAUUAUCUGGUGUACAUCUUUAGAAAUUCUUAAUGUCAUGGGAGAGUGAUCACCCUUAAUGCACGCAUACUACUGGUGGAAUCCGAUCUACCUACAUAUGUAUGUAUCUUUGUGUAUAUUGCAGAGUCUUAUGAGCCCGGAAGGAACCAUAUCCGAUCCGAUAUAUUUAUAUAUGUAUAAAUAUACAUAUAUGAUUUAUGUAAACAUACUUACAUAUAUGAUAUUGAGAAAUAAAUUACAGUUUCAAAGAAGAUUAUGUACCUCACUCAGUCUAACGUAUAGAUUAUUUCAAGUACUUGGGCUAUGAGAAAAACACAUACUAGCUUUAACUUUACACACUUAUUCUUGAAGACUGUGAGAACUUCUUUAAAUUGUCUGGUGUACGUCUUAAGAAAUUCUUAAAGUCAUGGGAGAGUGAUCACAGUCAAUGCCUGCUACCUGGUGUGAUCGUAGAGUCAGUAGAGCGAAGUUAAAGAAUUUAUAUACGCUUAA